UGCAAGUCGGACGCGAAAGGGGGCAACCCCCGGUAGCGUGGCAGACGGGUGAGUAACACGUGGGUAACCUACCCGGAGGUGGGGGAUAACCCUUCGAAAGGAGGGCUAAUACCGCAUGACAUCGUGGGGAUCUCGAUCCCCGCGAUCAAAGCUGGCCUCUGUUUACAAGCUAGCGCCACCGGAGGGGCCCGCGCCCCAUUAGCUAGUUGGUGAGGUAACGGCUCACCAAGGCGACGAUGGGUAGCCGGCCUGAGAGGGCGACCGGCCACACUGGAACUGGGACACGGUCCAGACUCCUACGGGAGGCAGCAGUGAGGAAUCUUGCGCAAUGGGCGAAAGCCUGACGCAGCGACGCCGCGUGGAGGACGAAGGUCUUCGGAUUGUAAACUCCUGUCGAGAGGGACGAAUGCCGUGAGGGUGAACAAUCCUCACGGUUGACGGUACCUCCAGAGGAAGCCCCGGCUAACUCCGUGCCAGCAGCCGCGGUAAUACGGAGGGGGCCAGCGUUGUUCGGAAUCAUUGGGCGUAAAGGGCGCGUAGGCGGCCGACCAAGUCGGAGGUGAAAUCCCUCGGCUCAACUGAGGAACUGCCUCCGAUACUGUUCGGCUUGAGUCCCGGAGAGGGUAGUGGAAUUCCGAGUGUAGCGGUGAAAUGCGUAGAGACUCGGAAGAACACCAGUGGCGAAGGCGGCUACCUGGAC
rnacentral:rRNA from 1 species